GUUUUCACCCAAAAGUUCCCUGUAGUAGAAGUGAGAAAUUUCUUUAGAGAUGUGCAAAGUAAACGUAAUUAAACUGAGUGUAAAAUGAUCAAAGUAUGACGUCUAGCGUCAGAAAAAGAAACAUUGACAUCAAAACAAUGUCCGCUCUAGCUCGUUGACACUCAAUUGAAUGAAGAAAUAAACAAAGGCAAAUGACUUCGAUACUCACGGCAUAUACUCCUCUCCAAAUUUAUAGGUCAUCUCGUCUUCACCAAAAAGCCUCCACUGCUGCAGCAUCACACAUAUCACAACAUACGAAAUCCCUAAGGUUUCAAUGACCGCUGAUGUUCACUGUUAAUGGAGAUGCUGCCUAUGGAAGAGAGGUGUGCUUAAAGUUGAUGCUUCUGCUGGUGUCUUUGGUGUCACAGUUCAAUGUGUUGUUCGUUAUAUUGUCUGUCAUGGCAAAUCUCUUCUCUCUGUCACUCAAAUCUCAUCCAUGCAUUUACAAUUGAGGUAACCUGAUCUUACAUGAUCUAGGAGUGCUUCAAUCGAAAACUGCUAGAUCAAGAAACCUUACAUGCACCAAACAAAUAAUAACACUCUGUUGUUAUCUUGUUUGAUUAAGCAACAGGCCACCUGCAAUCAAAUAAAAUUAUAGGCCUUAUCACA